rnacentral:rRNA from 1 species
AACGAACGCUGGCGGCAUGCCUAACACAUGCAAGUCGAACGAAGGCUUCGGCCUUAGUGGCGCACGGGUGCGUAACGCGUGGGAAUCUGCCCUUUGGUUCGGAAUAACAGCUGGAAACGGCUGCUAAUACCGGAUGAUGACGAAAGUCCAAAGAUUUAUCGCCAGAGGAUGAGCCCGCGUUGGAUUAGGUAGUUGGUGGGGUAAAGGCCUACCAAGCCGACGAUCCAUAGCUGGUCAGAGAGGAUGAUCAGCCACACUGGGACUGAGACACGGCCCAGACUCCUACGGGAGGCAGCAGUGGGUAAUAUUGGGCAAUGGGCGCAAGCCUGAUCCAGCAAUGCCGCGUGAGUGAUGAAGGCCCUAGGGUUGUAAAGCUCUUUUACCCGGGAAGAUAAUGACUGUACCGGGAGAAUAAGCCCCGGCUAACUCCGUG